rnacentral:rRNA from 1 species
UAGAGUUUGAUCCUGGCUCAGGACGAACGCUGGCGGCGUGCUUAACACAUGCAAGUCGAACGAAGAGCGAUGGAAGCUUGCUUCUAUCAAUCUUAGUGGCGAACGGGUGAGUAACGCGUAAUCAACCUGCCCUUCAGAGGGGGACAACAGUUGGAAACGACUGCUAAUACCGCAUACGAUCCAACCUCGGCAUCGAGGAUGGAUGAAAGGUGGCCUCUAUUUAUAAGCUAUCACUGAAGGAGGGGAUUGCGUCUGAUUAGCUAGUUGGAGGGGUAACGGCCCACCAAGGCAAUGAUCAGUAGCCGGUCUGAGAGGAUGAACGGCCACAUUGGGACUGAGACACGGCCCAGACUCCUACGGGAGGCAGCAGUGGGGAAUCUUCCGCAAUGGACGAAAGUCUGACGGAGCAACGCCGCGUGAGUGAUGACGGCCUUCGGGUUGUAAAGCUCUGUUAGUCGGGACGAAAGGUCCUCUUGCGAAUAGUUAGAGGAAUUGACGGUACCGGAAUAGAAAGCCACGGCUAACUACGUGCCAGCAGCCGCG